CCGGCACGGGUGAGUAACACGUAUCCAACCUGCCGUCUACUCUUGGACAGCCUUCUGAAAGGAAGAUUAAUACAAGAUGGCAUCAUGAGUCCGCAUGUUCACAUGAUUAAAGGUAUUCCGGUAGACGAUGGGGAUGCGUUCCAUUAGAUAGUAGGCGGGGUAACGGCCCACCUAGUCUUCGAUGGAUAGGGGUUCUGAGAGGAAAGUCCCCCACAUUGGAACUGAGACACGGUCCAA
rnacentral:rRNA from 1 species